UGUGCUUGUAUUUGGGAUCCUGGGGUCUCUGAAUUUUCAGCUGGAGAUGCAUAUACAUUUCUUGUUAAGUGGUCUGAAAGAUUUCUUUUAGUAUAAGCAUAGAGAGUUCUACAUUGCUGGAGAAAGCUAUACAGAUACAUUAUCAAACCACUGGCCCAGAGAUAUGGAAAGGUUCGGAAGGAAAAGUCGACAUGCUUUAUGCAGGAUAGGUAGUGGUGGUACCAUCACUGGUGCAUGGAAAUAUCUGAAAGAGCAGAAUUCUAACUUAAAAGUUAGCUGUUCUUUAGAUACAUUUGCAGAAGAUAAUUUCUGCUAUAAUCAUAGUGUUAUUUUCUUAUGUUAUCAUUUUUCUUUUGACUUUUUGUAGUUGAUUAGUGUGGAACCAGCUGAAAGUUCAGUGCUCUUAGGAGGAAAACCUGGUCCAUACAAGAUUCAGGGAAUUGGUGCAGGCUUUGUCCCCAGUGUAUUAGAAGUCAAUCUUCUCGAUGAAAUCAUUCAAGUAAGCUUUAUUCAAGAGUUGAUAAAAUGUUGUGAUUCAUGAAGUCAAACUAAUUUUAUGUUUUGUUAACUCUUGAGAUAUGUUUAAAUUGGUAGAUAUUAAGUGAAGAAGCUAUAGAAACUGCAAAGCAACUUAUGCUUAAAGAAGGCCUGUUUAUAAGUUCUCCAAUAUAUGUGUAUUAGUAUUCUGUUGUGACACUUGUAAUUUCUGGUAACAUAUUCAGUUAAUGAUCAAAGAAUAUUUGAUAUUGUUAAUAACCUUUUGUUUUGUUUUUUGUUUUUCUUUUGUUUGGUAAUCAAUCUUAUUUCAGGUUUAUUCUCAUCAGUAACUUAUUUUUUUCUCAAGAAACAGAUCUCACAUGUUGGAUUACUAGCUUGCUCUGCAGCGAUGUGUUAGAAAAG